GACAGAGGAUGCAAGCGUUAUCCGGAAUGAUUGGGCGUAAAGCGUCUGUAGGUGGCUUUUUAAGUCCGCCGUCAAAUCCCAGGGCUCAACCCUGGACAGGCGGUGGAAACUACCAAGCUGGAGUACGGUAGGGGCAGACGGAACAGGCGGUGGAGCGGUGAAAUGCGUAGAUAUCGCCUGGAACGCCGAAGGUGAAAACAGUCUGCUGGGGGCGUGCCGACGCUGAGACACGAAAGCCAGGGGAGCGAACGGG
rnacentral:rRNA from 1 species